AAAUUGUCCCACGAAAAGCCAAAUCAGGACUAGGCUCGUAGAGGCUUCUGCUGGUGAACUUCCGGACGCGGGUUCGAUUCCCGCCGCCUCCACCA
rnacentral:tmRNA from 1 species